GCAAAUAGUAAUCCUUACUAUAAAAAUGCUAGUAUGUUUACUUGUUUUUAACCAAACUGUUGAGUUUACUUAAAACGGUUAAUUGUUCUUUAAAUGUUACACUACAAAGUUCACAUAACUAAUGCAAUUUAAGUAAACUUACUCAAAAUAUCCAAGACGUUCUAUUGAGCAUGCGCAUUUGAGCACAUUUCCCCUCCCCCACACCUGGACGAAGCACAUGGAGUGACUCCUGAGGAAGAUUCUCAAAGGAAGUUUUAACAUUACCCUCUGCAACUUUAAGAUAACCUUCUGAUUUCCUUCUGCCAUGCAGUGGAAAUGAUUCAGGAGAAGCAUUAAAAAACCUAGACGAUUUGAAGUAAAUUUUUUGCCAAAUUUUCCUAACGGGGAGAAUGAAGACAGUCAAGAACGCCUGAGAAAAGAACUUGUAGAAGAAAUAAAAAAGAAGAGCCGAGACAUGAGCCUCAUUGGCCAAAAGAUGGAUAGUACAUUUGCCCUGAGACGGAAGGAAAUCAUUCACUCUGAACCUCCUGUUUCUGAGAUCUUGGAAAAAUGGCCAGCACUUUUCACAGAAAGCCAGAUCUUUGCAGAAUUCAAUCGUAUAUCUGGCAAGAAUCUGCGAUCUGAAUUCUAUGCAGCACUGGACAAACACACUGCACGUUUCCUUGAAAUUUUCCGGAAGAAAGGGGGAACUCAAGGACGAACACUUGAUGAGAUUUUACGUCAGGUUGAUUUAAAGGUACUCCUUUAUUUUGUUAAAUGUUGUUAUUGUUAAACCAUGAAAUGAAUUUUACCCUCUUACCCAAUUUUCUUUGUUUUUUUAGUCAUCUGAUGUAUUUUGUGUGCGUACAGCUGUACUUCAUGGACUUCCAGUUCUCCUGGGGGAUGACUCGGAUGAGUUUUUCAAGACGUGCUUUGAUUCUGAUGUAGAUGCAGACUUCAGCCAAAUUGAUGUUGGCCUGCUUACAGUUCUACCUGAAGACAUGCCUGCCAGAACUCCACAUGCACUCAACACUAACGCAAUAAGGGAAAUCAUUCUGGAGGGAAAAUUUGUCAUGGACGAUGUCCGAAGCUUGCCACAUGCUGUAUGUCUCCUUUUUGCUUUAAUCUAUGCUCUAAAUUUAGACUACCCAAAGACAAUGAGGAAUACAUUUGAAUUUAUUCAGAGGGUAUUUCUGUCUUUAGGAGGUAAGAACCUGAAACCCAAACUCCAAACUCUAAAAAAUCAGCUUUUAACCUAAUGUCUUUUCUUUUGGCCUUGGGUGCCUAUGCUAACCGUUAAAGGUAUAAUUCACCCAACAAUUCUGUCAUCAUUUACUCACUUUCAUGUUGUUACAAACCUGCCUAAAUUGAAGAUAUUUUGAGAAAUGUUUGCAACCAAACUGUUCAUGGACCCCAUUGACUUCCAUAGUAGGAUAAAAGAAUACUA